AGCGAACGCUGGCGGCAGGCCUAACACAUGCAAGUCGAACGAACCUUUCGGGGUUAGUGGCGGACGGGUGAGUAACACGUGGGAACGUGCCUUUAGGUUCGGAAUAACUCAGGGAAACUUGUGCUAAGACCGAAUGUGCCCUUCGGGGGAAAGAUUUAUCGCCUUUAGAUCGGCCCGCGUCUGAUUAGCUAGUUGGUUGAGGUAAUGGCUCACCAAGGCGACGAUCAGUAGCUGGUCUGAGAGGAGGAUCAGCCACAUUGGGACUGAGACACGGCCCAAACUCCUACGGGAGGCAGCAGUGGGGAAUCUUGCGCAAGGGGCGAAAGCCUGACGAAGCCAUGCGGCGUGAAUGAUGAAGGUCUUAGGAUUGUAAAAUUCUUUCACCGGGGACGAUAAUGACGGUACCCGGAGAAGAAGCCCCGGCUAACUUCGUG
rnacentral:rRNA from 1 species